GAGCCCGUAGCUCAACGGAUAGAGCGUUUCUUUCGCAAGGAACAGGUUGCCAGUUCGAAUCUGGUCGGGCUCGCCA
rnacentral:tRNA from 3 species